AUUGAGACUUCGGUGGAUUUGAUCUAUUUCUAGUGGCGGACGGGUGAGUAACGCGUGGGUAACCUGCCUUAUACAGGGGGAUAACAGUCAGAAAUGGCUGCUAAUACCGCAUAAGCGCACAGAGCUGCAUGGCUCAGUGUGAAAAACUCCGGUGGUAUAAGAUGGACCCGCGUUGGAUUAGCUUGUUGGUGGGGUAACGGCCCACCAAGGCGACGAUCCAUAGCCGGCCUGAGAGGGUGAACGGCCACAUUGGGACUGAGACACGGCCCAGACUCCUACGGGAGGCAGCAGUGGGGAAUAUUGCACAAUGGGGGAAACCCUGAUGCAGCGACGCCGCGUGAAGGAAGAAGUAUCUCGGUAUGUAAACUUCUAUCAGCAGGGAAGAUAGUGACGGUACCUGACUAAGAAGCCCCGGCUAACUACGUGCCAGCAGCCGCGGUAAUACGUAGGGGGCAAGCGUUAUCCGGAUUUACUGGGUGUAAAGGGAGCGUAGACGGUGUGGCAAGUCUGAUGUGAAAGGCAUGGGCUCAACCUGUGGACUGCAUUGGAAACUGUCAUACUUGAGUGCCGGAGGGGUAAGCGGAAUUCCUAGUGUAGCGGUGAAAUGCGUAGAUAUUAGGAGGAACACCAGU
rnacentral:rRNA from 1 species